rnacentral:rRNA from 1 species
CAGUAGCCGCGGGAAUACGUAGGUCCCGAGCGUUGUCCGGAUUUAUUGGGCGUAAAGCGAGCGCAGGCGGUUAGAUAAGUCUGAAGUUAAAGGCUGUGGCUUAACCAUAGUAUGCUUUGGAAACUGUUUAACUUGAGUGCAGAAGGGGAGAGUGGAAUUCCAUGUGUAGCGGUGAAAUGUGUAGAUAUAUGGAGGAACACCGGUGGCGAAAGCGGCUCUCUGGUCUGUAACUGACGCUGAGGCUCGAAAGCGCGGGGAGCAAACAGGAUUAGAUACCCCAGUAGUCCCUGUCUCUUAUACA